rnacentral:rRNA from 1 species
UACGGGGGGGGCAAGCGUUGUUCGGAAUUACUGGGCGUAAAGGGCUCGUAGGCGGCCAACUAAGUCAUACGUGAAAUCCCUCGGCUUAACCGGGGAACUGCGUCUGAUACUGGAUGGCUUGAGAUUGGGAGAGGGAUGCGGAAUUCCAGGUGUAGCGGUGAAAUGCGUAGAUAUCUGGAGGAACACCGGUGGCGAAGGCGGCAUACUGGACCAUCUCUGACGCUGAGGCGCGAAAGCCAGGGGAGCAAACGGG